rnacentral:rRNA from 1 species
CCUACGGGAGGCAGCAGUAGGGAAUCUUUCACAAUGGGCGAAAGCCUGAUGGAGCAACGCCGCGUGCAGGAUGAAGGCCUUCGGGUUGUAAACUGCUUUUAUAAGCGAGCAAUAUGAUGGUAACUUAUGAAUAAGGAUCGGCUAACUACGUGCCAGCAGCCGCGGUCAUACGUAGGAUCCGAGCAUUAUCCGGAGUGACUGGGUGUAAAGAGUUGCGUAGGUGGCAUAAUAAGUAGCUAGUGAAAUCUGGUGGCUCAACCAUUCAGACUAUUAGCUAAACUGUUAAGCUCGAGACCGUUAGGGGUAACUGGAAUUUCUAGUGUAGGAGUGAAAUCCGUAGAUAUUAGAAGGAACACCAAUAGCGUAGGCAGGUUGCUGGGACGGUUCUGACACUAAGGCACGAAAGCGUAGGGAGCAAACAGGAUUAGAUACCCUAGUAGUC